rnacentral:tRNA from 1 species
UCCUUGAUAGGUCAGUUGGUAAAGAAUCUGCCUGCAAUGCAGAAGACCCCAGUUCAAUUCCUGGGUCGGGGAG